UACGUAGGUGGCUAGCGUUGUCCGGAUUUACUGGGCGUAAAGAGCGCGCAGGCGGUCGUUCAAGUCGAGUGUGAAAGCCCCCGGCUCAACUGGGGAGGGUCACUCGAUACUGAUCGACUUGAAGGCGGGAGAGGGAAGCGGAAUUCCCGGUGUAGUGGUGAAAUGCGUAGAUAUCGGGAGGAACACCAGUGGCGAAGGCGACUACCUGGCCUGUUCUUGACGCUGAGGCGCGAAAGCUAGGGUAGCAAACGGG
rnacentral:rRNA from 1 species